ACGAACGCUGGCGGCGUGCUUAACACAUGCAAGUCGAGCGGUAAGGCCCUUUCGGGGGUACGACGAGCGGCGAACGGGUGAGUAACACGUGGGUGACCUGCCCUCAGCUCUGGGAUAAGCCUGGGAAACCGGGUCUAAUACCGGAUAUGACUCCAUGACGCAUGUUGUGGGGUGGAAAGCCUUGUGCGGCUGAGGAUGGGCCCGCGGCCUAUCAGCUUGUUGGUGGGGUGAUGGCCUACCAAGGCGACGACGGGUAGCCGGCCUGAGAGGGCGACCGGCCACACUGGGACUGAGACACGGCCCAGACUCCUACGGGAGGCAGCAGUGGGGAAUCUUGCGCAAUGGGCGAAAGCCUGACGCAGCGACGCCGCGUGAGGGAUGACGGCCUGGUGU
rnacentral:rRNA from 1 species